GAGCAGCGGUUGCACUUAGUUGCGGCUGCUGUCACAAUGUCCCGCGUUUUGGUGCCUUGCCAUGUGAAAGGCUCCGUAGCCCUCCAGGUGGGCGACGUGCGGACCUCCCAAGGCCGGCCUGGCGUGCUGGUCAUCGAUGUCACCUUCCCCAGCGUCGCUCCCUUCGAGGAAAUCACGUUUAAGAAUUACUACACAGCUUUUUUGAGCAUCCGUGUCCGUCAGUACACCUCAGCACACACACCUGCCAAGUGGGUGACCUGCCUGCGGGACUACUGCCUAAUGCCUGACCCACACAGUGAGGAGGGAGCCCAGGAGUAUGUAUCGCUGUUCAAGUAUCAGAUGCUGUGUGACAUGGCUAGAGUAUCGGAGCUACGCCUGAUUCUGCGGCAGCCAUCACCACUGUGGCUGUCUUUCACAGUGGAGGAGCUGCAGAUCUAUCAGCAGGGACCAAAGAGCCCCUCCGUGACCUUUCCCAAGUGGCUCUCCCACCCAGUGCCCUGUGAGCAACCUGCACUCCUCCGUGAGGUAAGCCCUCACCCUAGGUAAGAACCAUGUGUGAAUGGCUCUAGUGUCCAACACAGGCCAGGUAGACCCCUUCCUGUAAAAUUCUGGGGCUGGGCCCAGGGCCCUUGGGUGUUAUCUUCCUCCUGGGUAUUCUGUGGGAUUUGAGGCAUCUCUGUUGUGGGGCUACAUCAGGCCCUAACCUCAUGUUUCAUAAGCCAUCUGAGAAUGUUGUUGGUCUCAGCUGGAGGGCCCCUAGCCCAGGUUGGCCUCUCUGGAGCCCGAAGGGCACUGCUGGGGAGAGACCCAUGGCCACUGACCCCUCCUUCUGGAGCAGGGUCUCCCAGACCCCAGCAGGGUAUCCUCCGAGGUGCAGCAGAUGUGGGCACUGACAGAGAUGAUCCGGGCCAGUCACACCUCUGCAAGGAUCGGCCGCUUUGAUGUAAGUAAUCGCUUCCUUCUGCUUGGCUUGCUUUGCCCUGAGCAGAUCAGACCUGAUGGUCUUUUGUAUUUCAGGUGGAUGGCUGUUAUGACCUGAACUUGCUCUCCUACACUUGAAUGGUUGCUCCUAGCCAAGAUGUUGGCCUUUCUGUGCCCACCCAGACUUGGUUUGGGCCACCAGAGGCUGAAGUGUGUUUCCUGUGCAUUCCAAGUGUUGCCUGCAUGCCUGUUCUGUCUGGGCCACGUUCACAGAUUCAGGAUUCUCAGGGGCUUACCGUGUUACUUUAGCAUGAGCUCCUGGCAUGGGGGUGCUCUGUCUUCGCCUGGCUGCAACUCAAUUCUUCCUUCUACCCAAAAACACUCCAGUCAGUUGUACUUACUGAGAAUCCCUGAGUGCCCUCUGCCCCUUCUGGCAACAUGCACAUUCCUGUCUUCUGCCUGCUCCCUCAUGUCAGUGCAGUUGGGCUGGGCUGACCUACUAAAACCUGCUCCAUGUAUGGACCUGGAAGGCCAUUGCUGCCAUGGCACUUGGGACACUUGAGGAAGAAACAGAAACCUUAUUUCUUCCUGUGUGUCCCCUAGUGGUUUUCUUUCCAUUUGUGUUAUGCCACAGAGAGAAAUUUCCUGUCUGAACUCUUCUGCUGCCUGCCUAGGAAGGAAACCUGAAGAUUUGGGCAGCCUGAGUCUCUCGGUUUCUGAGCUGCUCCUGAAUAUAUGUUCAAGUGGGUGUGCCCAUAGGGCCUGGGCACGUGUCUCUAGCAAAACCAGGGCCUGAGAAUAAGAACUGGGACCCUUCUAGGCAGGGUGCGGUAGCUCACGCCUGUAAUCCCAGCACUUUGGGAGGCCCAGGCAGGCGGAUCACCUGAGGUCAGGA
rnacentral:sRNA from 1 species